AGCGAACGUUUGCGGCGGGCCUAACACAUGCAAGUCGAACGGGCUAGCAAUAGUCAGUGGCGCACGGGUGCGUAACACGUGGGUAAUCAACCCUUCAGCUCGGGAUAACGCCUUGAAAGGGGCGCUAAUACCGGAUGCGACGUGAGGAGCCUCGGCGCUUCGCGGGAAAGAUUCGCAAGGAUCACUGAAGGACGAGCCUGCGGCCCAUCAGCUAGUUGGUGAGGUAAGAGCUCACCAAGGCGAAGACGGGUAGCUGGUCUGAGAGGAUGAUCAGCCACACUGGAACUGAGACACGGUCCAGACUCCUACGGGAGGCAGCAGUGGGGAAUAUUGCGCAAUGGGCGAAAGCCUGACGCAGCCACGCCGCGUGAGCGAUGAAGGCC
rnacentral:rRNA from 1 species